rnacentral:tRNA from 1 species
UGGGGAAUAGGUCAACGGUGGACCCACUGGCUCUGACUCGGUUGGUCCUGGUUCGAAUCCACGUUCCCCGGCCA